AUUGAACGCUGGCGGCAGGCCUAACACAUGCAAGUCGAACGAGUGGCGGACGGGUGAGUAAUGUCUGGGAAACUGCCCGAUGGAGGGGGAUAACUACUGGAAACGGUAGCUAAUACCGCAUACCAUCGGAUGUGCCCAGAUGGGAUUAGCUAGUAGGUGGGGUAACGGCGCACCUGGGCGACGAUCCCUAGCUGGUCUGAGAGGAUGACCAGCAACACUGGAAGUGAGGAACGGUACAAAGGCCAACGGAGGGCAGCGGUGGGGAAUAUGGCGCAAUGGGGGCAGGCCUGAUGCAGACAUGCCGCGUGUAUGAAGAAGGCCUUCGGGUUGUAAAGUACUUUCAGCGAGAAGGCGUUACUCGCAGAAGAAGCACCGGCUAACUCCGUGCCAGCAGCCGCGGUAAUAC
rnacentral:rRNA from 1 species